rnacentral:sRNA from 1 species
GACUCUUAGCUGAACGCGGAGCUGCGGCGGCUAUGCUGUGGAGCGGCUGCCGGCGUUUCGGGGCGCGCCUCGGCUGCCUGCCCGGCGGUCUCCGGGUCCUCGUCCAGACCGGCCACCGGAGCUUGACCUCCUGCAUCGACCCAUGUGUGCCUGGAUGAUUGAUAGCUUCGGAAAUGGGGAACAGAGGCACAAAUUUUGCCCACCGCUCUGUACCAUGGAGAAGUUUGCUUCCUACUGCCUCACUGAACCAGGAAGUGGGAGUGAUGCUGCCUCUCUUCUGACCUCCGCUAAGAAACAGGGAGAUCAUUACAUCCUCAAUGGCUCCAAGGCCUUCAUCAGUGGUGCUGGUGAGUCAGACGUCUAUGUGGUCAUGUGCCGAACAGGAGGGCCAGGCCCCAAGGGCAUCUCAUGCAUAGUUGUUGAGAAGGGGACCCCUGGCCUCAGCUUUGGCAAGAAGGAGAAAAAGGUGAGUGGCUGUUGGACAGGAAACAAUUUAGGUUAUGAGACUCUGCCACCUGCCAGCCCAACUCCUGCUCUAUUUCAGAAAACAGGUUUGCAUACUUGCUAACCUACCUUUGAAGCAGUUGCUUCUAUUAGGAUUUUCAACAGGAGCAUAUGAAAUACAACAGGGCAUUAUUAAACACUAGGCCUCUGGGGAAAGUGACAAUGUUUGCCAGUAAAUUCUUCAAGCCACCUGUGAGUGUUCUGACCUCUCCUGCCUCUGCUUUUGGCCUGUGUUCCUCAUCCAGCUGCUUACGUUGGUGCACUUUGUUGCUCCAGGAAGAGACGCUUAGAGAAGACCUGGUGUUGGCCACAAGUCUCAGUAAUGGAAGGCAUGUGGUCCCUUUUUCUUCUUUGAUUAAAAAUAAAGUAAAACUCAUUGGAGAUGAUUGUGGGUAUUUCAGCAACCUAAGAAGGACACUUAGGUACUGUAAGUAAUUUGAAAAGUAAGAUACUUCUAGGAUUAAGAGCCGCCAUGGCCAGGGCAUGAACAGGAGACCUGUGAUCAUGUAACCGUAAUUGGUAAUAAGGGCUCAAGACCCAUUCAGAUUUUUUAGACCAGAUGCUCAAAGCAGUCAUCUCUCUCUAGUUUGUACUGUUAUGGGGGGACUUUGUGAGAGAAGGCAGGUAAUGAAAUGACCCCUAAGUGUACCUCUUUCUCACAGCUCCUCGGGUUUCUGUAUUUUCCUACAGGAUCCUUCCUGAUCCUCUGUAACUGCAAGGCACUAUGCAUUUUAGCAUCCCCUUCUCUUUGGUAACACAGCAACCAUUUCCUAGGCUUCUACUGUGUGUGAAGCCCAUGCUAACUCCUGGGCAGGAAGACCUUCAGUAAAAGGCUUAGAAAUGGAGUUUAUCCUAUCAACAAAAGAGAACAAGGAAAUGAUGUAAAGGCAGUCUAUUUUCAGAGCCAGAGAGGAACUGGAAGAUUGUAGAUAGUUUGUGGUUUUCAAUUAGAGGCACUGAAAUUGGGGGCAGUUGGUGUCACAAUCCUAAAAGAAGUUGUGAGAAAUGUUUGUAGGUUAGUCAGGUAGAGUAGACAUUAGUAGAUUCUCUUAAUAAGUUAGCAAAUGUUUAGCUGAAACAGGUAUCUUUCUGAGUGCUGACAGGCCUUUAAACCUGAACUUUUUCUUUUUCCUCAUUUUAAGUUCUUGUGGGUCUAAGUCUUGGGUGCUGAAACCCAUACCUCACAGGCUCCUGUCCCCAGGGAAGGCCGCCCUACCUGCUGGAUUGUUGGGCAACCACACAGUCCCUGAUUUUUGCCAGGUGGGGUGGAACUCCCAGCCAACACGAGCUGUGAUCUUCGAAGACUGUGCUGUCCCUGUGGCCAACAGAAUUGGGAGCGAGGGGCAGGGCUUCCUCAUUGCCGUGAGAGGACUGAACGGAGGGAGGAUCAACAUUGCUUCCUGCUCCCUGGGGGCUGCCCACGCCUCUGUCAUCCUCACCCGAGACCACCUCAAUGUCCGGAAGCAGUUUGGAGAGCCUCUGGCCAGUAACCAGUACUUGCAAUUCAAACUGGCUGAUAUGGCAACAAGGCUGGUGGCCGCGCGGCUGAUGGUCCGCAAUGCAGCAGUGGCUCUGCAGGAGGAAAGGAAGGAUGCAGUGGCCUUGUGCUCCAUGGCCAAGCUCUUUGCUACAGAUGAAUGCUUUGCCAUCUGCAACCAGGCCUUGCAGAUGCACGGGGGCUACGGCUACCUGAAGGAUUACGCUGUUCAGCAGUACGUGCGGGACUCCAGGGUCCACCAGAUUCUAGAAGGUAGCAAUGAAGUGAUGAGGAUACUGAUCUCUAGAAGCCUGCUUCAGGAGUAGAACCCACACUUGUUCUGGCCUGGUGUUCAGUGCGACUGCAGUCAGUGUUGAGUGGUGCCAUGUGGGCCGCUCUACUCCAAAGGAAUCAUGGAUUAGACGCAAGGGCUGAGCUCCCCUAGGGCAGGACCUGCACCCUGUGUGUUGGCACCAGCAUCGGGUCUCGGACUGGGGCAGAAUCCCCAGUGGAACCAGAAGAGCUGGCCUGAUGAGAAACAUCAGAAGAACACAUACUACCUUGUUUUCCUAAUGCCAGAAGGGUGACCAGUGAAGAUUCACCGUCAAACCAUGAAAGUCCUUUCUUGGAUCCACUUUAUCUUGAUUAGUCUGCAUUUUGCUAGUUCACUGGAUCCCUCCUCUAGGGGCCUGGGGACUUUCACUGAUGCUCUUCCUGAUUCUAGAGCAAAGGUGUGGGAAGGGGAAAUGGAGGAAUGCCCUCCUGUCUGUGUCGUUCUCUGUGCCACAGCUACAGAUGCAGAAGGUUUCUCUGGAUAGCACACCUCUGAAUGUAAAUCAUGAUAAAAUGGAUAUUUGGAAACUUACUCCUAAGCUGUGAUUUAGGGUGUAUUUCUACUUCUGGACUGCCUCAAUAUCAAGGGCUGAGACUUUUGAAUUUUGAAUAUUCGUUGGGUUUCAUGUUAAGAAGCCUGUGGUCUAGGAGUGCUAUUCAGUGUUUCUUUUCCUGAUAAACACUUUGAAUAUUUUUUUUGUGUUUUUGUUUCCUUUUCUGAAGCUGUUCCUCUUUUUAAAUAUUUUUAAUCACAUUGAUAAAAUCUAUCCUUCACCACCUCUGGUUCUACUAUAGUUGAUUUUUAUUUUAAAUGUUUAAUUGUAUUUGAUUAAACACUUAACUGGAUUUUGGAAUAAUAAAACUCGUCCAAUUUGGCUUUU